GCUGAAAUGGGGGUAUGGGGGAGCAAAUAAGAACCCUAAACCCCUUGCUUUGAUUUCAAUUUGCCAUAACUUUCAAUCCGGAGAUUCGAUCGCUGCACCGUUUGCGGCCACACAUUUGCAGUGACGAGCUCUACAAAAUCUGGUACCUUUUAAGGAUCAAAUUGACUUGAGGAAUUGGUAGGUUUUGGAUUAAUUGAAGCACAUAUACAGUGUAUAUAUGUACAUGUUGGAGCUUGAAUUGUGAGUUUUGGAACUCGGUGGAGUUUGGGUGACGUGCGU